rfam:Triticum aestivum genome assembly, contig: Triticum_aestivum_CS42_TGACv1_scaffold_039845_1BL
UAUGUACUCCCUCCGUCCUAAAAUACUAGUCGUCAAAAUGGACAAAAAGGAAUGUAUCUAGAACUAAAAUACAUCUAGAUACAUCCCCUUUUAUUCAUUUUGAUGACAAGUAUUUCUGGAUGGAGGGAGUACUAC